UUCCGUUGCCUGAGGGCAACGCUGUGCUGUACACUGUAAAAAGUGCUACACCCACAAAGUAGAUUUUAUAUACUUUAAAUAGUUGUAAUCUAGUUUAUUUUAUUUGUUUUAUACUAAAAAGUAUCAAUAUACUUCCUCUUUACUUAAAAUACAUCAGUUUUUAUAUAACAAUAUAUUUUAAGUAAAACUAUUGCAAUUUAUUUGAGUAGUUAUUUGUAUGUGGUUGUUGUGUACAAGAAAUGUUAUAAAAGUGAGUUGACAUACACAAUUUAUUAGAGCAGCUGUCGAUGUGGCAGGUGUGUGUUCAUCAAACUUAAAUAUUUUAAAUUUUAUAAGUUGGUAUUAUCCCUUUUUCACUGGCGGGACUCACAGGCAGAUGCAGCAUCUUCCUCGGCACUUCAACUGUUUGUUUGCUACAGCGGAUCUGAAUUUCAGGGACUGAUAACACGGUAAGUUGAGCAAAUUUAGCCGAAUGAUUGUUGAUGUAAAGUCACGCGAAAUUGCUUACUCCACUAGGAAGCUGAGGUUAGGCUUGCAAAUUGUACUGUAUAGCUAGCUAUCCUGCACACAUGGCAUGUUAAGAUGGCUGCACAGUGCUAAACAGUGUGGUCUUGUAGGCAACGAUCGGCAGACAACGGCAGUUGAGACUGUUGUUAAUAUGAAAUUAAAUAAGUGUAGUCAUGCAUACUAUGUGUUUUAAGUCUACUUUGGCUAAUGCUAAUUAACGAUUAAAAGUGAUAUUAUUUGUAAAAUCAAUGCCAAAGUAGCCUUAAAACACAUAUUAGGCACGACUACAGCACUUAUUUAAUUUCAUAUUAACAACACGCUCUCCGAUGGGGGAUGCCGCUGUUGUGGGGUGUCGUGGGGUUAUCAUCAGCAGCAGAUAGUUGUAUGAUUUUAGAGAUUUGAUCCAUGUUUUUUUUUAAUGCUGCAUAGUAAAUUAAUAACAGAUUUUUGGUUGGAAAAAAAAAAAAAACUAAAAUAUUUCUAUCCUAUUACUUAAAUAAGUUACAUUUACCUUAACCUGUUUUCCUGGUCUUUAGAUACCAAAGAACUUUUGUUACCUUGGGUCUUCAAGCUUCACAUCCAGGCAACAUCAUCAAAGUGGAGGCAGCUGUAAAAUUUUGAGUCAUCCUGGACCAUGAAAUAAAGAAACUUUGUCUUCUUGGAAUGCCACGUACAGUUAAAGAGUUUGAAGAAGUGAUAAAAGAAACAUUUGGGAUCUCAGUGGACCAGGAUUUUGAUGACUUUGUUACUUUAAGUUCAACUGAUGACCUGAAGGAUAGGGACACACUGAAUGAAGAUUUUACUUUUUGACAGGAACCAUUUGCCUGUGGAGAAAAGGAGAAAGGUGGUCCUGAGAUGCCUGAUUGAGUACAUGGGGGAGAGACAGGGAGACCUCAUCCACCACAGUCAUGAUGAAACAGGUGCACACGGAGCUCGGCAGUUGCCCACUGAAAAUUUACAUGUGCCAUCAGCCCGAUAGGAUUGGGAUGAUCAUUGAAGGACAGCCUGUGGUCAGAGGUGUGCCAAAUCUGUCGAAAGCAUGCUGCCUCCUGUUUGGACUUAACUAUGCCCUCGACCUCAUGUUUCCUGAACAUGUUUCCAUGAACACUUUUGAGAUACUGUAUAUCAGAGACUCUUUUUGGGAUUGGACCCCUGCAUCCUAAGGCAUCAUCCAAGUACGCAAAUCUCUUCACCAAGUUGUUUUAGAUGAUUUAUCAAUGGCGUAUGGCAUUGUUUUCCAUAAUGUGAUACAAUAUGAUGUUAUGGCUCACAUUUACCUUUAUCUAAACAUUGCAGAUUGGGCAGAUUUUGAUAUUUCACCUUACUGUUCAGAACAGGUUGAAAAUACACUUGUACAGUGUUUAUUUAUUUAUAUAUAUAUAUAUAUAUAUAUAUAUAUAUAUAUAUAUA